AUUGAACGCUGGCGGCAGGCUUAACACAUGCAAGUCGAGCGAGCGGCGGACGGGUGAGUAAUGUCUGGGAAACUGCCUGAUGGAGGGGGAUAACUACUGGAAACGGUAGCUAAUACCGCAUACCAUCAGAUGUGCCCAGAUGGGAUUAGCUAGUAGGUGGGGUAAUGGCUCACCGAGGCGACGAUCCCUAGCUGGUGUGAGAGGAUGACCAGGCACAGUGGAGCUGGGACACGGUCCAGACUGCUACGAGAGGCAGCAGUGGGGAAUAUUGCACAAUGGGGGGAAGACUGAUGCAGCCAUGCCGCAUGUGUGAAGAAGGCCUUCGGGGUGUAAAGCACUGUCAGCGAGGAGGCGUUACUCGCAGAAGAAGCACCGGCUAACUCCGUGCCAGCAGCCGCGGUAAUAC
rnacentral:rRNA from 1 species